AUUGAACGCUGGCGGCAGGCCUAACACAUGCAAGUCGAGCGGAGCGGCGGACGGGUGAGUAAUGCCUAGGAAUCUGCCUGGUCGUGGGGGAUAACGUCCGGAACAGGGCGCUAAUACCGCAUAAUAUCAGAUGAGCAUAGGUCGGAUUUGCUAGUUGGUGGGGUAAAGGCCUACCAAGGCGACGACCCGUAACUGGUCUGAGAGGAUUAUCAGUCACUCUGGAACUGAUACACGGUCCAGACUCCUACGGGAGGCAGCAUUGGGGAAUAUUGGACAAUGGGCGAAAGCCUGAUCCAGCCAUGCCGCGUGUGUGAAGAAGGUCUUCGGAUUGUAAAGCACUUUAAGUUGGGAGGCGUUACCAACAGAAUAAGCACCGGCUAACUCCGUGCCAGCAGCCGCGGUAAUAC
rnacentral:rRNA from 1 species